GAUGAACGCUGGCGGCGUGCUUAACACAUGCAAGUCGAACGGAAAGGCUCCUGCUUGCCGGGGUACUCGAGUGGCGAACGGGUGAGUAACACGUGGGUGAUCUGCCCUGCACUUCGGGAUAAGCCUGGGAAACUGGGUCUAAUACCGGAUAGGACCACAUUUUGGAUGGUGUGGUGGAAAGUUUUUCGGUGUGGGAUGAGCUCGCGGCCUAUCAGCUUGUUGGUGGGGUAAUGGCCUACCAAGGCGUCGACGGGUAGCCGGCCUGAGAGGGUGUACGGCCACAUUGGGACUGAGAUACGGCCCAGACUCCUACGGGGGGCAGCAGUGGGGAAUAUUGCACAAUGGGCGCAAGCCUGAUGCAGCGACGCCGCGUGGGGGAUGACGGCCUUCGGGUUGUAAACUCCUUUCGCUAGGGACGAAGCGUUUUUGUGACGGUACCUGGAGAAGAAGCACCGGCUAACUACGUG
rnacentral:rRNA from 1 species